GGCCCGGCUCUUGCUCUGCACCAUGCAGAGGUAGCCAACGGCGGUUGCCCUACUACACGACAAAGGCGUCGC
rfam:Pseudomonas resinovorans NBRC 106553 DNA, complete geonome.